AGCGAACGCUGGCGGCAGGCUUAACACAUGCAAGUCGAGCGGGCCCUUCGGGGUCAGCGGCGGACGGGUGAGUAACGCGUGGGAACGUGCCUUCUGGUCUGGAAUAACCCUGGGAAACUAGGGCUAAUACCGGAUACGCCCUUUUGGGGAAAGGUUUACUGCCGGAAGAUCGGCCCGCGUCUGAUUAGCUAGUUGGUGGGGUAACGGCCUACCUAGGCGACGAUCAGUAGCUGGUCUGAGAGGAUGAUCAGCCACACUGGGACUGAGACACGGCCCAGACUCCUACGGGAGGCAGCAGUGGGGAAUAUUGGACAAUGGGCGCAAGCCUGAUCCAGCCAUGCCGCGUGAGUGAUGAAGGCCUUAGGGUUGUAAAGCUCUUUUAUCCGGGACGAUAAUGACGGUACCGGAGGAAUAAGCCCCGGCUAACUUCGUG
rnacentral:rRNA from 1 species